rnacentral:rRNA from 1 species
UACCUGCAGCUCGAGUGGUAGCCGCUAUUAUUGGGCCUAAAGCGUCCGUAGCCGGUUUGGUAAAUAUCUGGGUAAAUCGUGAGGCUUAACUUCACGAAUUUCGGAUAGACUGCCAGACUUGGGAUCGGGGGAGGUCAGAGGUACUCCAGGGGUAGCGGUGAAAUGUUGUAAUCCUUGGAGGACCACCGGUAGCGAAGGCGUCUGACUAGAACGAGUCCGACGGUGAGGGACGAAGCCCUGGGGCGCAAACCGGAUUAGAUACCCGGGUAGUCCAGGGUGUAAACGAUGUGGGCUUUGUAUUGGAGGUCCCACGUGGGCGUCCAGUGCAGAAGAGAAGUUGUUAAGCCCACCGCCUGGGAAGUACGGUCGCAAGGCUGAAACUUAAAGGAAUUGGCGGGGGGGCACAGCAACGGGUGGAGCGUGCGGUUU